CCUACGGGAGGCAGCAGUGGGGAAUAUUGCACAAUGGGGGAAACCCUGAUGCAGCGACGCCGCGUGAGUGAAGAAGUAUUUCGGUAUGUAAAGCUCUAUCAGCAGGGAAGAAAAUGACGGUACCUUAUUAAGAAGCCCCGGCUAACUAAGUGCCAGCAGCCGCGGUAAUACGUAGGGGGCAAGCGUUAUCCGGAUUUACUGGGUGUAAAGGGAGCGUAGACGGCAGCACAAGUCUGGAGUGAAAUGCCGGGGCUUAACCCCGGAACUGCUUUGGAAACUGUGCGGCUAGAGUGAAGGAGAGGUAGGUGGAAUUCCUAGUGUAGCGGUGAAAUGCGUAGAUAUUAGGAGGAACACCAGUGGCGAAGGCGGCUUACUGGACUGUAACUGACGUUGAGGCGCGAAAGCGUGGGGAGCAAACAGGAUUAGAUACCCGGGUAGUC
rnacentral:rRNA from 1 species